rnacentral:tRNA from 1 species
GCCACCGUAGCUCAGUGGCAGAGCAGCGGUUUCGUAAACCGCUUCCCUAUCCUGCCGCCCCAAUCUGUGGCACCA